CUACGGGUUGCUCCAGUGGGGAAUAUUGCGCAAUGGACGAAAGUCUGACGCAGCCACUCCGCGUGUAGGAUGAAGCCCUUGCGGGUGUAAACUACUGUUAGAAGGGACGAGGGCCUCGGUUUUGCCGAGGAGGGACGGUACCUUCAGAGAAAGCUCCGGCUAACUCCGUGCCAGCAGCCGCGGUAAUACGGGGGGAGCAAGCGUUGUCCGGAAUCACUGGGCGUAAAGAGCGUGUAGGCGGGAAUGCAAGUCAGAGGUGAAAGACCGGGGCUUAACUCCGGGUCCGCCUUUGAAACUGCAUUUCUUGAGUGCAGGAGAGGGAAGCGGAAUUCCAGGUGUAGCGGUGGAAUGCGUAGAUAUCUGGAAGAACACCGGUGGCGAAGGCGGCUUCCUGGUCUGGUACUGACGCUGAGACGCGAAAGCGUGGGGAGCAAACAGGAUUAGAUACCCGGGUAGUC
rnacentral:rRNA from 1 species